rnacentral:rRNA from 1 species
GACAGAGGGUGCAAACGUUGUUCGGAAUUACUGGGCGUAAAGCGAGUGUAGGCGGUCUGUAAAGUCAGGUGUGAAAGCCCCGGGCUCAACCCGGGAAGUGCACUUGAAACUCACAGGCUAGAGUAUCGGAGAGGUUGGUGGAAUUCUCGGUGUAGAGGUGAAAUUCGUAGAUAUCGAGAGGAACACCGGCGGCGAAGGCGGCCAACUGGACGAAUACUGACGCUGAGACUCGAAAGCGUGGGGAGCGAACAGG